rnacentral:sRNA from 12 species
CGAGGCUUGGAAUCAUGAUGCUGUGGGCCUCGCCAGCGUCUAGCGGGUGAUCACGGGGAUCUCCACACACCCGCCGGUAUAGCCGCGUCACUACUAAAGUAGGCCGAAAGGGGAAGCUCGCAUUGCUCCUAUCGCUCCGAAUUUUAUAUGUAGUGCGCGCCACACGCCGUGGAGGGGUAGCUGGGUGGACAGCUAGAAAGUGUGGGACGCCG